GAACGCUAGCGACAGGCCUAACACAUGCAAGUCGAGGGGCAGCACAAGGAGCAAUCUGAGGUGGCGACCGGCGCACGGGUGAGUAACACGUAUGCAACCUGCCUGUAAGACGGGGAAUAACCCGUUGAAAGACGGACUAAUACCGCAUAAUACUAAAUUACUGCAUGGUAAUUUAUUUUAAACAUUUUAUGGCUUACAGAUGGGCAUGCGCAUGAUUAGCUAGUUGGAGAGGUAACGGCUCCCCAAGGCAACGAUCAUUAGGGGUUCUGAGAGGAAGGUCCCCCACACUGGUACUGAGACACGGACCAGACUCCUACGGGAGGCAGCAGUGAGGAAUAUUGGUCAAUGGACGAGAGUCUGAACCAGCCAAGUCGCGUGCAGGAAGAAUGUCCCUAUGGAUUGUAAACUGCUUUUGCAGGGGAAUAAAGUGCAUCACGUGUGAUGUUUUGUAUGUACUCUGCGAAUAAGGAUCGGCUAACUCCGUGCCAGCCGCCGC
rnacentral:rRNA from 1 species